CCUGUGGGCCAGGAUUUGACCCUGUCUCAGCUCUCUCCCCACUAGACUGGAGCUCCUUGAGGACAAUGACAGCAUUUUGUCACCUC
rnacentral:miRNA from 1 species